GAAAAAUGAAGAUAAAGUUGAAAAGAAGGAAGACAAACAUGAGAAGAAAGAGAGACACGAGGAUGGCGAUAAAAAGAAAGAGGAAGGAGAAGAGAAAUCUAAAGACAAGAAGAAGCAGAAAGAUAAGGACAAUAAAGAUAAGGAGGAUAAAGAAGAUGGUGGAAAAGAGAAGAAGAAAAAGAAUCCUGAAGAUAAGAAGGAUCCUGCAAAACUAAGGGCUAAGCUUGAAAAGCUUGACACCAAGAUUCAAGCACUCAAUCAAAAGAAAGAAGAAAUUGUCAAACUCCUCCGAGAAGUUGAAAAUAAUGCUGCUGCCAAACCAAGUGAAUGAGCCAGCUGCUUCAGCACCCUGUCUUUCUUUCUUCAAGUUUCCUGAAGAGAAGAAAGAAAGUUUCAAAAUUAGAGAUUUAAUUAAUGCAAAAAUAAAACUGUACCUGCUGUAUAAAUAUGGCUGCAGCAAGAGUUAUUAAUUACUGAAAAAUCAAACUGUAAAUAAAAUUGAGAUCAAUAUUCAUCUCAAGAACAUGUUA
rnacentral:misc_RNA from 1 species